rnacentral:rRNA from 1 species
CCUACGGGAGGAGCAGUGAGGAAUAUUGGUCAAUGGGCGAGAGCCUGAACCAGCCAAGUCGCGUGAAGGAUGAAGGUUCUAUGGAUUGUAAACUUCUUUUGUCCGAGGGUAAAGGAGGCUACGUGUAGCUUUUUGCAAGUAUCGGACGAAUAAGCAUCGGCUAACUCCGUGCCAGCAGCCGCGGUAAU